GAUUGAACGCUGGCGGCAGGCCUAACACAUGCAAGUCGAGCGGUAGCACAGAGAGCUUGCUCUCGGGUGACGAGCGGCGGACGGGUGAGUAAUGUCUGGGAAACUGCCUGAUGGAGGGGGAUAACUACUGGAAACGGUAGCUAAUACCGCAUAACGUCGCAAGACCAAAGUGGGGGACCUUCGGGCCUCAUGCCAUCAGAUGUGCCCAGAUGGGAUUAGCUAGUAGGUGGGGUAACGGCUCACCUAGGCGACGAUCCCUAGCUGGUCUGAGAGGAUGACCAGCCACACUGGAACUGAGACACGGUCCAGACUCCUACGGGAGGCAGCAGUGGGGAAUAUUGCACAAUGGGCGCAAGCCUGAUGCAGCCAUGCCGCGUGUGUGAAGAAGGCCUUCGGGUUGUAAAGCACUUUCAGCGGGGAGGAAGGCGUUAAGGUUAAUAACCUUGGCGAUUGACGUUACCCGCAGAAGAAGCACCGGCUAACUCCGUGCCAGCAGCCGCGGUAAUACGGAGGGUGCAAGCGUUAAUCGGAAUUACUGGGCGUAAAGCGCACGCAGGCGGUCUGUCAAGUCGGAUGUGAAAUCCCCGGGCUCAACCUGGGAACUGCAUUCGAAACUGGCAGGCUAGAGUCUUGUAGAGGGGGGUAGAAUUCCAGGUGUAGCGGUGAAAUGCGUAGAGAUCUGGAGGAAUACCGGUGGCGAAGGCGGCCCCCUGGACAAAGACUGACGCUCAGGUGCGAAAGCGUGGGGAGCAAACAGGAUUAGAUACCCUGGUAGUCCACGCCGUAAACGAUGUCGAUUUGGAGGUUGUGCCCUUGAGGCGUGGCUUCCGGAGCUAACGCGUUAAAUCGACCGCCUGGGGAGUACGGCCGCAAGGUUAAAACUCAAAUGAAUUGACGGGGGCCCGCACAAGCGGUGGAGCAUGUGGUUUAAUUCGAUGCAACGCGAAGAACCUUACCUGGUCUUGACAUCCACAGAACUUUCCAGAGAUGGAUUGGUGCCUUCGGGAACUGUGAGACAGGUGCUGCAUGGCUGUCGUCAGCUCGUGUUGUGAAAUGUUGGGUUAAGUCCCGCAACGAGCGCAACCCUUAUCCUUUGUUGCCAGCGGUUCGGCCGGGAACUCAAAGGAGACUGCCAGUGAUAAACUGGAGGAAGGUGGGGAUGACGUCAAGUCAUCAUGGCCCUUACGACCAGGGCUACACACGUGCUACAAUGGCAUAUACAAAGAGAAGCGACCUCGCGAGAGCAAGCGGACCUCAUAAAGUAUGUCGUAGUCCGGAUUGGAGUCUGCAACUCGACUCCAUGAAGUCGGAAUCGCUAGUAAUCGUAGAUCAGAAUGCUACGGUGAAUACGUUCCCGGGCCUUGUACACACCGCCCGUCACACCAUGGGAGUGGGUUGCAAAAGAAGUAGGUAGCUUAACCUUCGGGAGGGCGCUUACCACUUUGUGAUUCAUGACUGGGGUGAAGUCGUAACAAGG
rnacentral:rRNA from 1 species